rnacentral:rRNA from 1 species
AGAGUUUGAUCCUGGCUCAGGAUGAACGCUGGCGGCGUGCUUAAUACAUGCAAGUCGAACGGAGGACUUUUGUAGUAAUACAGGAGUUUCUCAGUGGCGAACGGGCGAGUAACGAGUUGGUGACCUGCCCCGAAGUGUGGGAUAACAGUCCGAAAGGAUUGCUAAUACCGCAUGUGAUCAUCGGUUUUAGAAUCUGAUGAUUAAAGCAGCAAUGCGCUUCGGGAGGGACCUGCUUCCCAUCAGCUAGUUGGUGAGGUAAUGGCCCACCAAGGCUACGACGGGUAAGGGACCUGAGAGGGUGGUCCCUCGCAAUGGCACUGAAACACGGGCCAUACACCUACGGGUGGCAGCAGUAGGGAAUAUUGGGCAAUGGGCGAAAGCCUGACCCAGCAACGCCGCGUGCACGAUGAAGGCCUUCGGGUCGUAAAGUGCUUUUCUGAGGAAUGAGUAAGGACAGUACCUCAGGAAUAAGCCUCGGCUAACUACGUGCCAGCAGCCGCGGUAAAACGUAGGAGGCAAGCGUUAUCCGGAUUUACUGGGCGUAAAGCGUGUGUAGGCGGUUCGGCAAGUUGGAUGUGAAAGCUCCUGGCUUAACUAGGAGAGGUCGUUCAAUACUACCGAACUUGAGGGCAUCAGAGGAAGGUGGAAUUCCCGGUGUAGUGGUGAAAUGCGUAGAUAUCGGGAGGAACACCAGUGGCGAAGGCGGCCUUCUGGGAUGUUCCUGACGCUCAGACACGAAAGCUAGGGUAGCGAACGGGAUUAGAGACCCCGGUAGUCCUAGCAGUAAACGAUGUAGACUUGGUGUCGGAGGUGUCAAAACCUUCGGUAUCGUAGCUAACGCGAUAAGUCUACCGCCUGGGGACUACGGCCGCAAGGUUAAAACUCAAAGGAAUUGACGGGGGCCCGCGCAAGCAGCGGAGCGUGUGGUUUAAUUCGAUGUUACACGAAGAACCUUACCCAGGUUUGACAUGUUGGUGGUAGGAAUCCGAAAGGUGACCGACCCGCAUGGAGCCUUCACAGUGCUGCAUGGCUGUCGUCAGCUCGUGUCGUGAGAUGUCGCUAGUUCGCUACGAGCGCAUCCCUCGCCGUAUGUUACAUGUGUCAUGCGGGACGUCGUAUCAGCGGAGAGUUGGGAUGACGUCAGGUCAGCAUGCCUUAAUUCUGGGCCUUACCACCACGCUACAAUGGCCGGUACAAUGGGGUCGCUUAAGGCUCA